UACGUAGGGGGCAAGCGUUGUCCGGAAUCAUUGGGCGUAAAGCGCGCGUAGGCGGCCCGGUAAGUCCGUUGUGAAAGUCAAAGGCUCAACCCCUGAAUGCGGGUGGAUACUGCUGGGCUAGAGUCCGGAAGAGGCGAGUGGAAUUCCUGGUGUAGCGGUGAAAUGCGCAGAUAUCAGGAGGAACACCGAUGGCGAAGGCAGCUCGCUGGGACGGUACUGACGCUGAGGCGCGAAAGCGUGGGGAGCAAACAGG
rnacentral:rRNA from 1 species